rnacentral:rRNA from 1 species
CCUACGGGAGGCAGCAGUGAGGAAUAUUGGUCAAUGGACGAGAGUCUGAACCAGCCAAGUAGCGUGAAGGAUGACUGCCCUAUGGGUUGUAAACUUCUUUUAUAUGGGAAUAAAAUGUUCCACGUGUGGGAUUUUGUAUGUACCAUAUGAAUAAGGAUCGACUAACUCCGUGCCAGCAGCCGCGGUAAUACGGAGGAUCCGAGCGUUAUCCGGUUUUAUUGGGUUUCAAGGGAGCGUAGGUGGAUUUGUAAGUCAGUUGUGAAAGUUUGCGGCUCAACCGUAAAAUUGCAGUUGAAACUGGCAGGCUUGAGGACAGUAGAGGUGGGCGGAAUUCGUGGUGUAGCGGUGAACUGCUUAGAUAUCACGAAGAACUCCGAUUGCGAAGGCAGUUCACUGGACUGCAACUGACACUGAGGCUCGAAAGUGUGGGUAUCAAACAGGAUUAGAUACCCUAGUAGUC